CAAUAGCGUAUAUUAAAGCUGUUGCGGUUAAAAAGCUCGUAGUUGGAUUUCUGUCAAGGACAACUGGUCCGCCCCUCGGGUGAGCACAUAGUUUGGUCUUGGCAUCUUGUUGGAAACUGUUGCUGCACUUGGUUGUGUGGCGCAGUGUCCAGCACUUUCACUUUGAGGAAAUUGGAGUGUUUCAAGCAGGCACAUGCCUUUGGACACAGUAGCAUGGAAUAAUUAGAUUGGGCUUUUGCUCCAACUUGUCGGUUUCUGGAGCUGAGGUGAGAAUUAAUGGGGAUUGUUGGGGGCAUCCGAAUUUAGCCGUCAGAGGUGAAAUUCUUGGAUCUGCUAAAGACGGACAACUGCGAAAACGUUUGCCCAGGAUGUUUUCAUUGA
rnacentral:rRNA from 1 species